CCUACGUGAGGCAGCAGUGAGGAAUAUUGGUCAAUGGACGAGAGUCUGAACCAGCCAAGUAGCGUGAAGGAUGACUGCCCUAUGGGUUGUAAACUUCUUUUAUAUGGGAAUAAAAUGAUCCACGUGUGGCAUUUUGUAUGUACCAUAUGAAUAAGGAUCGGCUAAUUCCGUGCCAGCAGCCGCGGUAAUACGGAGGUUCCGAGCGUUAUCCGGAUUUAUUGGGUUUAAAGGGAGCGUAGGUGGUUUUGUAAGCCCGUUGUGAAAGUUUGCGGCUCAACCGUAAAAUUGCAGUUGAAACUGGCAGUCUUGAGUGCAGUAGAGGUGGGCGGAAUUCGUGGUGUAGCGGUGAAAUGCUUAGAUAUCACGAAGAACUCCGAUUGCGAAGGCAGUUCACUGGACUGCAACUGACACUGAGGCUCGAAAGUGUGGGUAUCAAACAGGAUUAGAUACCCUAGUAGUC
rnacentral:rRNA from 1 species